AACGCAUAUUGCGCCCUUUGGCAUUCCGAAGGGCAUGCCUGUUCGAGCGUCAUUAUCACCCCUCAAGCCCCGGCUUGGUGUUGGGCUCCCGGUGGUCGUACCCGACCACCCGCCUCAAAGAUAGUGACGGCGUCCCAGAGGGAACCGGUACGAGGAGCUUUCACGAGCAUGUACGCGGGACGACUCUGCGGGCGACGGUCUUUUUUAACUUAAUAAAGUGUUGACCUCGGAUCAGGUAGGAAUACCCGCUGAACUUAA
rnacentral:misc_RNA from 1 species